rnacentral:rRNA from 1 species
UACAGAGGUCUCAAGCGUUGUUCGGAUUCAUUGGGCGUAAAGGGUGCGUAGGCGGCGCGGUAAGUCGGGUGUGAAAUCUUGGAGCUUAACUCCGAAACUGCAUUCGAUACUGCCGUACUUGAGGACUGGAGAGGAGACUGGAAUUUACGGUGUAGCGGUGAAAUGCGUAGAUAUCGUAAGGAAGACCAGUGGCGAAGGCGGUUCUCUGGGCCUUACCUGACGCUGAGGAGCGAAAGCGUGGGGAGCGAACAGG